UCCGGCUUAUCACCGGCAGUUUCUUUAGAGUGCUCAACUAAAUGGUAGCAACUAAUGGCAAGGGUUGCGCUCGUUGCGGGACUUAACCCAACAUCUCACGACACGAGCUGACGACAGCCAUGCAGCACCUGUGUCCAGGUUCCCUUUCGGGCACACCCACAUCUCUGCGGGCUUCCUGGCAUGUCAAGGGUAGGUAAGGUUUUUCGCGUUGCAUCGAAUUAAUCCACAUAAUCCACCGCUUGUGCGGGUCCCCGUCAAUUCCUUUGAGUUUUAGCCUUGCGGCCGUACUCCCCAGGCGGGGUGCUUAACGCGUUAGCUACGGCACCGCAGGGGUCAAAACCCGCGACACCUAGCACCCAUCGUUUACAGCGUGGACUAC
rnacentral:misc_RNA from 1 species